UGGUGCUAUGUAGCAGGAACCCCUCUUGCUUUGCAAAUAGUUUUUUGUUUGUUUUCCUUUUUGCCCAAUAGAGCCCUGCUCUACUGACCCUUCAAUGUGCCCGUGUGCCUAAAUAUUCCUGGUCGUGUGAAAAGAACCCAGGUAUUAGCUGAACUAAGGAGCACAAUUCUGCAACAUUUUGGCACCCAAACACGGGGCUUGAGAAAUGGUGAGUAAGAUGCGAACAAAAACGCCCCUUUUUUUCCUUUACCUUCUAAGCCUUUGUGUCGUCGGACUUUUUCUGAGAGUAGGGGAAAUUGUACCUCCCUCCCCUCCACUCCUGUCUCUUCCAGCGGUCGGGAAUAUCAGCCUUUUCCUGUUUUUAAGGGAUAGACAGGUGAACCAGAGGCUCCCUGCUCCCCUCUUAAGUUCCUCGCCCUGCUGGAGGAACCCAUUUCCAUAAGAAUAAGAUUUUCUUCCUGCAGGCAUCUUUCCAACUCUGCACUUUAAACUUUUCUGCCUUUCUCUACCCUGCCAGCAGUUAACUUUUAAGUGAGAGUUUUGUUUUUUUUUUUUCCUUUUAGAAGACAUUUUACUAGGCCAGGAAUUAUAAGGAUCACUGUUUAUAUUCUCUGUAAAGUUUUAAUUAUUAAAAAUGAUUCAUGAGGUUGAUUUUAAUCUGUAGCCAAUCUAGUGUGCUUUGCAUGGCUUUCUGUAUGGUCAGUAGCAACUUUGCCGCAGGUCUCCAUCUAGUUUUACGUCUUUCAAGUGUGACCUGUAACCUCAUGGCAAUGUUUCGUUUAGCCUCCACCAUUUUACAGUGGCAGCUGGGUUCAAUCCUGGCUUAAGGAAUAAACUCCUUCUGAUUUGAUAUCUGGAUGACCUUUGCAAUUUGUUGAUUCUUUUCCCCUCAACAGCCUUGGAUUUUUCUUUCCCUGAGCCUUUAGUAAAGUUUGAAAGCCAGAAAUAUUGGCUGCUCGGCAUAACUAAAACCAGAUAACAAGGGAUUUAAAACAAUUUUCUUAAAGAGCACACAGCUUAAUUAAAAGUGUAUAUCCAAGUUAUAGGCAUAUUUGAAAGGCCUUUAUUUAUUUAAUUUUUUUCCCCCUUGGAUUUUGUUUUGCUGGAAAAAGGGUUUUUUCUCAGUUGGCCGAAUUCUUUUUCUCCAUUUUGUCUUGCCACUCUUGAUGCAUGCACGUGAGGCUCUAAGGUAACUCUGGGGUGCAUGGGACUCCUUGAGAAAAACAGAAGGCACCACUGACCCCUUUUUGGGAAGAAAUCUGUUUUCCUCAUGGAACCCCAGGAAUUAAAAGCAGAUAGAUCCCUCUCAAAAUCUGUUUUUGCUUCCCAAUUAUGCCUGUUUAUUACGCCCUAGAAGCAGCAUGUUUUCCUAGCCCUGUCUCUUAAAGGGAUCCGCCUGGAGGACAAUAAUCCUAUUAGGAGACUGGCAAAUGAAAAACCUUGUGGCUGCUGAGUUUUCUUCUGCCUGGCUGUGUAGUUAUAUAUGUGUUGUAUUUGUGAUGUUUAUAAAAACAGCUCUAAUUAAUUGGCCUAAAGAAAAAUAAGCACUUGGAUCAAAUAUUUUUUAAUGGAAAGAUAAAAGCUGUGGUAGCUUUUAGUUCUCAUGACUUUAAUCUUUGAGAAAUAAAAACAGCCUUAAAGAUUAUUUGGUGAAAUGCAUAUGUCAUCAAAAUUUAAAUAGGUGGACUAAAUUAUGCACGUCAGAUACUAGGUUUGCUAAAUGUUUUAAGGCUAUAAAAUGCUUUUUGAGAAUGAUUCAAUUUGCUGGCUUCACAACUGGUAAGGCCCGGAGACAUAUGUUACUAACCACGCCCUUAGUUGUGCUGGAAGGAGUCAAACCUUGGCUGCCCCUAGCACAUAAUUAAAACAACUUACCAGGUUUUACUUUAAAGGUAAAAAUUGCUAGGAGUUACCAUUAUAACAUGUAAUUGAGACCACUAAAAAUAUAUUUACAUUUGAGUUAUGUGAGAACAGUAAAAUAUGUUUUUAGUAAAAGAUUAUAAGAAGGCAUAGAAAUGUAAAAUUCUGCCUAAGGUUAAAAGAUUGUUUUGAAUUAAAUAAGAUAACAGUAAAAGUUCAAACAAGUUGUGGAAGGAUUGCAAAAAUUAACCUUGCAAAGGAAAUCCCAUGUGUGAACAUAUUGACUAAAUUCAAAGAAUAUUAUAUGGUUUUUCUGUAAAUUCAGCAUUGAAAUAAAAGCAUAACAAGGCACUCUUAAAGCAGUAAGCUACUCUUCAGCAAAAUUUGUAAAGUGUUAUAACAGAUUUUUGCUUUUAGAAUUUCUGAGUCAUCAUUUUAGCAAAGUAAAUAACAUGGUAAUCUGGAAUCCUAUUUCAUAACAUCAAGUAUUUUAAAUCCCUAACAUACUUAACAGCCUUCCCAAAAUCAAACUUCAGUUUCAAAAUUGUCUUUCUUGAUACCAGACUUUUGGAUGCUACAGAGGACACCUGCAGCAUCAAAAAAAGUAAGGUAAAUGGAUUAUCUGGUAUGUUUUAGGUACAUGGGAUUGACAAAACGGUGUUCAAUCCUUUUUCGGUUGUAUUUUUGUGAAUAAUACUAAUAGUACUAAUAAUAAUACUAAUGUAUAGUUCCAAACUUUUAUGGGAUUUAAAAAAUUCUAAUGUUUGAGCAUAUACUAUCAAUCAUAAUUAUAGCUAUUAUGUUAAAUUAUUGUAAACCAUGGAGAUAACCAAAUUUAUUUGUCAAUCAUGUUUCUGACUGCAACUACCCUGGACAUUUUGUUACUCACAAACCAUUGUUGUCUUGUUUUGAUCCUAUCCUCUUCACAUGAUGUUUAUAAUCAGCUAUGGAACUUUGACAGGUGUUCUCAAAUGCAGGCUUCUGAUAACUUUGGAGAUUGUGACAUUGGAAUAAAGGAAAAACAUACAGGGCUCAUGAAAAUUGAAAUGUUCAUGGAUAGCAAGCAAAACAAGAGUUAACUGAAUGGACUGAACUAAUAGAAAACUGAAGUAAUCGUUUUAGCUUUUGCUUGGAAUAUUGCUGAUCAUUAUUUUGUUUUUCAGAGUCCAGGAAACUUAUUUUGAACUAUUUAUGACCUUUAAUAAUUGAGUAAGGUGUACUCCUGUGAACAAAAUUUGGAGCAUUAUUUGUCUCUCUCUGCCUGGCUUCUCCAGAAUUUGGAAACUAAUAUUGAGUAUUCUUAACUUAUGGCAGUAUAGUCAUUUGCAUCAGUGCAAUAAGAAUCCUUUUUCUUUUGCAACAGAAUGCAAUUGGAGAAACUGGUUGUUUUACCAGGCGUUGAUUGGAAAUGUGUGCUUCCCUUUAAGCAGUCAAGCUCAACUUGCAGAACUGAUGGGAACCCCUUGGGAAAACUGGCCUCAAAUGUUUGUCUACACAGUCCACAUACAGGGUUCUUAACCUGCGGUGAGUAAAGAAUGUCACUUUCCAACAGGCCCAGAUAUCAUAUGCUCUUGGGACCUCAAGAAGAGAGGAGUUUACCCAAUUCAUAGGUGUGUGAGGAUAAAAACCUAGGGCUGGGCUCAGCUUUAAAUGGUCUUAUCUGAGAUUCUUUGUGAAACAGAUUUUCAUGAAAGCCAAUCUAGAGGGCCUACGUAGAAAUAAUUGUUUUUGCUGCACUUUAUGCACAUAAUCAAGCCAAUUAUAAGACUAAAGUCUAUAUUGCAAGCAACACACUCCUAUUAUGAUUUGUUUUUAACAGAAAUGAGGACGAGACAGAGAGAAAUUAUGUUUCAAAACUUAUCAUCAUUAGUUUCUAGACUUAUUAUUUCUUUUUAAGUUUUUACCUACAUUUUAGACUGACCCUGCUUGUGCCUGUGAACCAACCAACAAUCUCUGGCUGCAGCUCAGAAAGGACAAAAGAGAAUGGGUAGGUAAUGGUGUCCCAUACCACAGAACACUUCCCUCAGAUGCAUCCUUCUAACUGGGAGGAGUUAAUUUCUCAAACCGUAGACUAAUUGGCUUAGGAUUAGGUUCAGGGGAAGGGAACACAGAAACAUGACAUGCCAGCAAAAGGGUAAAAGGUUUUUUUUCCCCGUUGGGCUUUUGGCCUCUCUCUCCCUGUGCAAACUGGUAAAAGGCGUCUGGAUUUUCUAGUUGUCCUUACCCACUGCUUGUUUCGUUUUGAUACAUAUUUUCUAAUAACCUGUUUGUCUCUUCUCACUUUUAGGCCAUCAAACUCCAGUCUGCACCUGGAGCCUUGGAUGAUGGCCUUUUUUACUGGGAACCCUGAAAUAGGCCUCUGAGGGAAAUCUGAUUGCCAUUUUCCCAAAACAGCUUCCCUGACAAUAGGAAGCAAUUAAGAUUGGUCUUCAUCCUUAUCUUUAUCCUUAUUCUAAUGGCAGUUAGAGGUACUUCUUUAGAGGGGGGAAUGAGACAGCCAAAUGCCUAGGCAGAUAAAAAGGUGUACCUGGAAAAUUUCCAACCCGUCACACAAGUGUUUACAUCAGAUGCUUUUGUGUAGAUGAGGGAAACUUCCCAGGGCUUGUCUGGGUAUGCCCACAGUGGACUGGAGCCCAAAAUGCACACUGGAGGAAGUGGAUGGAGCCACGUGGAUGUCAUGCCUUAUGCAGGGGAGGAGCCUGCUCUCUUCAGCUCCUGUGGUAAUGUGGGAAUCGAUCUGUGAGGUGAGGACCUGUUAGCAGGAACCCCUCUUGCUUUGCUGAAAGUUUUAUUUUUCUUUUUGCCCUAUAAAACCCUGUUCUACUAACCCUUCAAUAUGUCUGCAUUCCUAAAUUUUCCUGGUCAUGUGACGAGAACCUAGGUUUUAGCUGAACUAAGGAGCAAAAUUCUGCAACAUAAAGUCAAAGAAAACUAUGCCUAUAUCCAUUAAAUCAAAUGUUAAAAAGCAAAUAUAAAGAAAAAGUCUUCACAGCCCUAGAGAAAAGUGAAACAUUGUACAUAAAGAAGUAAUAAUUUGAAUGGAUUGUCAGAAACCAUGACUAGAAGACAGAGGAGCAAUAUUUUCAAAUUUCAUAGAGAAAGG
rnacentral:lncRNA from 1 species